ACCACAGGGUAGAACCACGGGU
rnacentral:miRNA from 1 species